rnacentral:rRNA from 1 species
GCCGGUACUCGCGAAUGCUCUAGAUUUAAGUUUGAUCAUGGCUCAGACUGAACGCUGGCGGCAGGCUUAACACAUGCAAGUCGAGCGGGGAAGGGUAGCUUGCUACCUAACCUAGCGGCGGACGGGUGAGUAAUGCUUAGGAAUCUGCCAUUUAGUGGGGGACAACAUUCCGAAAGGAAUGCUAAUACCGCAUACGUCCUACGGGAGAAAGCAGGGGAUCUUCGGACCUUGCGCUAAAUGAUGAGCCUAAGUCGGAUUAGCUAGUUGGUGGGGUAAAGGCCUACCAAGGCGACGAUCUGUAGCGGGUCUGAGAGGAUGAUCCGCCACACUGGGACUGAGACACGGCCCAGACUCCUACGGGAGGCAGCAGUGGGGAAUAUUGGACAAUGGGCGGAAGCCUGAUCCAGCCAUGCCGCGUGUGUGAAGAAGGCCUUUUGGUUGUAAAGCACUUUAAGCGAGGAGGAGGCUCUCCUAGUUAAUACCUAGGAUGAGUGGACGUUACUCGCAGAAUAAGCACCGGCUAACUCUGUGCCAGCAGCCGCGGUAAUACAGAGGGUAGCGAGCGUUAAUCGGAUUUACUGGGCGUAAAGCGUGCGUAGGCGACUUUUUAAGUCGG